GCUGGUCAAUGAUGAAACCCUUUUUAAAUGUGGACUGAUGGAUGAUGCUUGCGGAUAUGGGACUGAGGCCAGCC